rnacentral:rRNA from 1 species
AGGGUGAUCGGCCACAUUGGGACUGAGACACGGCCCAAACUCCUACGGGAGGCAGCAGUAGGGAAUCUUCGGCAAUGGACGAAAGUCUGACCGAGCAACGCCGCGUGAGUGAAGAAGGUUUUCGGAUCGUAAAACUCUGUUGGUAGAGAAGAACGUUGGUGAGAGUGGAAAGCUCAUCAAGUGACGGUAACUACCCAGAAAGGGACGGCUAACUACGUGCCAGCAGCCGCGGUAAU